rnacentral:rRNA from 1 species
GAUGAACGCUGGCGGCGUGCCUAAUACAUGCAAGUCGAGCGAACGGACGAGAAGCUUGCUUUUCUGAUGUUAGCGGCGGACGGGUGAGUAACACGUGGAUAACCUACCUAUAAGACUGGGAUAACUUCGGGAAACCGGAGCUAAUACCGGAUAAUAUUUUGAACCGCAUGGUUCAAUAGUGAAAGACGGUCUUGCUGUCACUUAUAGAUGGAUCCGCGCUGCAUUAGCUAGUUGGUAAGGUAACGGCUUACCAAGGCAACGAUGCAUAGCCGACCUGAGAGGGUGAUCGGCCACACUGGAACUGAGACACGGUCCAGACUCCUACGGGAGGCAGCAGUAGGGAAUCUUCCGCAAUGGGCGAAAGCCUGACGGAGCAACGCCGCGUGUGUGAUGAAGGUCUUCGGAUCGUAAAACUCUGUUAUUAGGGAAGAACAUAUGUGUAAGUAACUGUGCACAUCUUGACGGUACCUAAUCAGAAAGCCACGGCUAACUACGUG